AAUCCAAGUUGUGGGUAGGGUUAAAUCAAAUCCUUAUACCUUUCCCAUGCUUCAUAGAGUGAUUCAAACCCAUGUUGCUUGAAUUGACCAAUCUCACUCCUAAGUUG